AUGAACGCUGGCGGCGUGCCUAAUACAUGCAAGUCGAGCGAACGGACGAGAAGCUUGCUUCUCUGAUGUUAGCGGCGGACGGGUGAGUAACACGUGGAUAACCUACCUAUAAGACUGGGAUAACUUCGGGAAACCGUAGCUAAUACCGGAUAAUAUUUUGAACCGCAUGGUUCAAAAGUGAAAGACGGUCUUGCUGUCACUUAUAGAUGGAUCCGCGCUGCAUUAGCUAGUUGGUAAGGUAACGGCUUACCAAGGCAACGAUGCAUAGCCGACCUGAGAGGGUGAUCAGCCACACUGGAACUGAGACACGGUCCAGACUCCUACGGGAGGCAGCAGUAGGGAAUCUUCCGCAAUGGGCGCAAGCCUGACGGAGCAACGCCGCGUGAGUGAUGAAGGUCUUCGGGUCGUAAAACUCUGUUAUUAGGGAAGAACAUAUGUGUAAGUAACUGUGCACAUCUUGACGGUACCUAAUCAGAAAGCCACGGCUAACUACGUG
rnacentral:rRNA from 1 species